rnacentral:rRNA from 1 species
CUAUACAUGCAAGUCGAACGCUUCUUUUUCCACCGGAGCUUGCUCCACCGGAAAAAGAGGAGUGGCGAACGGGUGAGUAACACGUGGGUAACCUGCCCAUCAGAAGGGGAUAACACUUGGAAACAGGUGCUAAUACCGUAUAACAAUCGAAACCGCAUGGUUUUGAUUUGAAAGGCGCUUUCGGGUGUCGCUGAUGGAUGGACCCGCGGUGCAUUAGCUAGUUGGUGAGGUAACGGCUCACCAAGGCGACGAUGCAUAGCCGACCUGAGAGGGUGAUCGGCCACAUUGGGACUGAGACACGGCCCAAACUCCUACGGGAGGCAGCAGUAGGGAAUCUUCGGCAAUGGACGAAAGUCUGACCGAGCAACGCCGCGUGAGUGAAGAAGGUUUUCGGAUCGUAAAACUCUGUUGUUAGAGAAGAACAAGGAUGAGAGUAACUGUUCAUCCCUUGACGGUAUCUAACCAGAAAGCCACGGCUAACUACGUGCCAGCAGCCGCGGUAAUACGUAGGUGGCAAGCGUUGUCCGGAUUUAUUGGGCGUAAAGCGAGCGCAGGCGGUUUCUUAAGUCUGAUGUGAAAGCCCCCGGCUCAACCGGGGAGGGUCAUUGGAAACUGGGAGACUUGAGUGCAGAAGAGGAGAGUGGAAUUCCAUGUGUAGCGGUGAAAUGCGUAGAUAUAUGGAGGAACACCAGUGGCGAAGGCGGCUCUCUGGUCUGUAACUGACGCUGAGGCUCGAAAGCGUGGGGAGCAAACAGGAUUAGAUACCCUGGUAGUCCACGCCGUA